rnacentral:tRNA from 2 species
UGGGGGCUCGUCCAACGGCAGGACAGCAGACUCUGGAUCUGUUGAUAGGGGUUCGAAUCCUCUGCCCCCAG